rnacentral:rRNA from 1 species
AGAAUCAACGCUGGCGGCGUGCCUAACACAUGCAAGUCGAACGCGGUUACCCCGCAAGGGGUGACUGAGUGGCAAACGGGUGAGUAACGCGUGGGUGACCUACCUUCGAGUGGGGGAUAACGUUUCGAAAGGAACGCUAAUACCGCAUGACAUCCUGCCUUUGGACAGGCGGAGAUCAAAGCCGGGGAUCGCAAGACCUGGCGCUUGGAGAGGGGCCCGCGUCCGAUUAGCUAGUUGGUGGGGUAACGGCUCACCAAGGCGACGAUCGGUA